rnacentral:snoRNA from 1 species
CUUCCUGGCCAUGGAGGGGCGUCUUCUUGUUUGUCGGCAAAGCUGUCCCCGUUUAAUUGGCAGCAGAUUCUGACUUGCACAAGUAGCAUUC